CAAUAGCGUAUAUUAAAGUUGUUGCAGUUAAAAAGCUCGUAGUUGGAUUUCUGGUGGGAGCGAUCGGUCUGGCGCUUAGCGCGAGUACUUGCAUCGUCUCCGGCCAUCCUUGGGGAGAGUCUGUCUGGCAUUAGGUUGUCGGGCAGAGGAUCCUCAUCGUUUACUGUGAAAAAAUUAGAGUGUUCAAAGCAGGCUUAUGCCGUUGAAUAUAUUAGCAUGGAUUAAUAAGAUAGGACUUUGGUACUAUUUUGUUGGUUUGCGCACCAAAGUAAUGAUUAAUAGGGACAGUUGGGGGUAUUCGUAUUCCGUUGUCAGAGGUGAAAUUCUUGGAUUUACGGAAGACGAACUACUGCGAAAGCAUUUACCAAGGAUGUUUUCAUUAA
rnacentral:rRNA from 1 species